GUAGGAGGCAGUGUAACAGAAUGGGGGGAGGUGAGUGUGACAAGAUUAAGGGGGUUAAUGUGGCAGAAUUAGAUUAAUGUGGAAGGGUGAGUGUGACAGGGUUGGGGGGAGAGUGUGUCAGGGUUUGGGGUGAGAGUGGCACAGUUGGAGGACAGGAUUGGAGGGGCUUAUGUAAAUGUGGCAGGGUUAAGGAGGUGAGUGGGACAGACUGAUAGAGGAUGAGUAUGACAGGGUUGGGGACUGUGUGUGACAGUGCAAGAGAAGGUGAGUCUGACAGGAU